AACGAACGCUGGCGGCAGGCCUAACACAUGCAAGUCGAGCGAGACCUUCGGGUCUAGCGGCGGACGGGUGAGUAACGCGUGGGAAUAUGCCCUUUGGUACGGAAUAGCCUCGGGAAACUGAGAGUAAUACCGUAUGUGCCCUUCGGGGGAAAGAUUUAUCGCCAAAGGAUUAGCCCGCGUUGGAUUAGGUAGUUGGUGGGGUAAUGGCCUACCAAGCCUACGAUCCAUAGCUGGUUUGAGAGGAUGAUCAGCCACACUGGGACUGAGACACGGCCCAGACUCCUACGGGAGGCAGCAGUGGGGAAUUUUAGACAAUGGGGGCAACCCUGAUCUAGCCGUGCCGCGUGAGUGAUGAAGGCCUUAGGGUUGUAAAGCUCUUUCAGCUGGGAAGAUAAUGACGGUACCAGCAGAAGAAGUCCCGGCUAACUCCGUGCCAGCCGCCGCAGUAACAC
rnacentral:rRNA from 1 species